rnacentral:pre_miRNA from 1 species
UGGACAGAUUAUUGUAUUCGACUGUAUUCACGGCGUGAAAUAGGGGAUUACACUGUUUUUAAAAUGGAAAGUGAAUCAAUUAACAUAAUAGACUCUU